rnacentral:rRNA from 1 species
GAUGAACGCUGGCGGCGUGCCUAAUACAUGCAAGUCGAGCGAACGGACGAGAAGCUUGCUUCUCUGAUGUUAUCGGCGGACGGGUGAGGAACACGUGGAUAACCUACCUACAAGACUGGGAUAACUUCGGGAAACCGGAGCUAAUACCGGAUGAUAUUUUGAACCGCAUGGUUCAAAAGUGAAAGACGGUCUUGCUGUCACUUAUAGAUGGAUACGCGCUGCAUUAGCUAGUUGGUAAUGUAACGGCUUACCAAGGCAACGAUGCAUAGCCGACCUGAGAGGGUGAUCGGCCACACUGGCACUGAGACACGGUCCAGACUCCUACGGGAGGCAGCAGUAGGGAAUCUUCCGCAAUGGGGGAAAGCCUGACGGAGCAACGCCGCGUAAGUGAUGAAGGUCUUCGGAUCGUAAAACUCUGUUAUUAGGGAAGAACAUAUGUGUAAGUAACUGUGCACAUCUUGACGGUACCUAAUCAAAAAGCCACGGCUAACUACGUG